rnacentral:rRNA from 1 species
UGCCAGCCGCCGCGGUAAUACGGGGGGAGCGAGCGUUAAUCGGAAUUACUGGGCGUAAAGCGCGCGUAGGUGGCAAAGUCAGUCAGGCGUGAAAGCCCUCGGCUCAACCGAGGAAUUGCGUUUGAUACUACUUUGCUAGAGUCUCGGAGAGGUUGGCGGAAUUCCAGGUGUAGGAGUGAAAUCCGUAGAUAUCUGGAGGAACACCAGUGGCGAAGGCGGCUAACUGGCUCGGUACUGACGCUGAGGUGCGAAAGCGUGGGUAGCAAACAGGAUUAGAUA